UUGCAUCUUUCCUGGUUGUUAGAGACUAAGACUCUCAACACCCCAACGAGAUGCAAGAAAAAUGUCCUCGCGCUUUCUGUCUGCCUGAUUGUGGCAGCCAAGAUUGAAUAGAGGAAUACAGAG
rnacentral:snoRNA from 1 species